AUCAUUGGUCUACUGGAUGGAAGUUUUACUGGUACAACAACACACAAAACACUGAGAAGACGACAACAGAAACAAACUCUUACACAAUCCACAGUGUUAAAGUUUCAGAUGGAGGUCAGUACUGGUGUAGAGCUGGAAGAGGAAAACCAGACUAUUACACAGAAUACAGUGAUGGACUGUGGAUAAAUGUUACAGAUGUUUCUCAGGAGGUGUUUGCACUCAACAUUUUCACUUUUCCGCUGGCAGUUUGUCCAUAUCUGUUAGCGACAGUCGUGCUGGCUGUCAAAUGCUGUAGAUUGAAAGGCUAAAGGUGUGCACGCAGCGACGUCAAGUCUAACCCUGCCCCUCUCCAUGAUGCACGUUGCACGCAACAGCCAGAUUUUCUUUACGGUGAACAGCAGCAAUGAUUAAUAAAAAAAAUUCACUGAGCAGAAAAGAUUAAGCUGGAGGUCCGACCCGAGUCAUUGACCCGAACCCGUGGGCCGACCCAACCGUUGAUAACUCUACUGUGCGUUCUGUAGCGUCUGCUGUUUUCCCGAUUAUCUGCACUGUUUCUAUGGCAAUGACAUCUCGCUGGCACGACAAUCCGCCUUGACGUCUGACGUGUUUACGUUUUAAGUGAUGCAACAGCAUGACGUAACCAAAAAGCUACACAAAUGCAAUCAGGGCAGUCAGACUGGAUUUCUGGAAAUGCAAUUUGAAAAGGAUUUUUUUAAAGCACAUCUGAAUGCAGCCUGAAACGGAUUAGAAAAAAACGGAUUUCAUGUGAUUUUUAUUAAAUGUGAUUGGAUUCCUAUCGGAUAUGCAUCAAAAUUGGAUUUGGAGUGACAGUGUGAACAAGGACUAAUACAACUCUUUCUACAUCGGCUGCCUAUGAGAGGCUUGAUGGAGCUUGAAUUUUGAAAAUCAAAUUCUUAAGUUAAAUUCGAGGUUUUACAACUUUAAGUUGCAUGCUGCAUACAUGUUGAUAAAUCAAUAAAUUAAAUACAAACAGUUGAAAAGCAGGAUAAAACCUUGUAUGUGGUUCAUUCACUUCAUGUUUUUAGAGAUUAAAAGCUUGAACAAGAAUCUCUAGUUUUCAUUCUUCCUGUUACUUUUAUUUUUUAUUACUCAAGUACAAUUUUAAUGUGGCACUGUUUUACUUAAGUAUGAUUCUGGACAGAUACUUUUACUUUUAAUUGAGUAAAAUUUACACUUUAUUCAUUACAGCGAGAUGGUCUUUCUGCUGGGCCUCAGGCCUGUAGCACCUCCUACGGUGCCUGGAGGACUAUGCAUGGCAGGGGCGUCCUCUUCCCUGAGGAAGGGCUAAACCUGACCGCAUACCACAUGUAUUGGAUUUAUAGUGUCUCUGUUUUUCUUAAAUGUGCA